UACGAAGGGGGCUAGCGUUGUUCGGAAUUACUGGGCGUAAAGCGCACGUAGGCGGAUAUUUAAGUCAGGGGUGAAAUCCCGGGGCUCAACCCCGGAACUGCCUUUGAUACUGGGCAUCUCGAGUCCGAGAGAGGUGAGUGGAAUUCCGAGUGUAGAGGUGAAAUUCGUAGAUAUUCGGAAGAACACCAGUGGCGAAGGCGGCUCACUGGCCCGGUACUGACGCUGAGGUGCGAAAGCGUGGGGAGCAAACAGG
rnacentral:rRNA from 1 species